GAUGAAUACUACAAGGAAAUCUCUUGUCACCAUUCUAUUCCUAUUGGCCUUCUUCAUCUCUGCAUCAGAUGUUUGCGCUGACGGAGUAAUAAAUUGUAAGAAAGAUCAAGAUUGUCAAAAUAAUUGUGAAGUUCCUAAUGUAGGACGGUGUCUUAAGGGAAAAUGUUGGUGUUUUACUCCACCAUCUUCUUCUAACAAGAGACCUACUCAAAUUCCCUAAAUAAAAUUUACUUUUUAUUAUUGUGAUGUAAUCAUCUUGUUUGAAUAAAAUUACAAUAAAUAAAUAUUUUGUUUUA